rnacentral:rRNA from 1 species
GACGAACGCUGGCGGCGUGCUUAACACAUGCAAGUCGAACGAAGAGCGAUGGAAGCUUGCUUCUAUCAAUCUUAGUGGCGAACGGGUGAGUAACGCGUAAUCAACCUGCCCUUCAGAGGGGGACAACAGUUGGAAACGACUGCUAAUACCGCAUACGAUCUAAUCUCGGCAUCGAGGAUAGAUGAAAGGUGGCCUCUACAUUUAACCUCUCACUGAAGGAGGGGAUUGCGUCUGAUUAGCUAGUUGGAGGGGUAACGGCCCACCAAGGCGAUGAUCAGUAGCCGGUCUGAGAGGAUGAACGGCCACAUUGGGACUGAGACACGGCCCAGACUCCUACGGGAGGCAGCAGUGGGGAAUCUUCCGCAAUGGACGAAAGUCUGACGGAGCAACGCCGCGUGAGUGAUGACGGCCUUCGGGUUGUAAAGCUCUGUUAAUCGGGACGAAAGGCCUUCUUGCGAAUAGUGAGAAGGAUUGACGGUACCGGAAUAGAAAGCCACGGCUAACUACGUG